UACGAAGGGGGCUAGCGUUGUUCGGAAUCACUGGGCGUAAAGGGCGCGUAGGCGGCUUUAUAAGUCGGGGGUGAAAGCCUGUGGCUCAACCACAGAAUUGCCUUCGAUACUGUAGAGCUUGAGACCGGAAGAGGUAAGUGGAACUGUGAGUGUAGAGGUGAAAUUCGUAGAUAUUCGCAAGAACACCAGUGGCGAAGGCGG
rnacentral:rRNA from 1 species